GAGUAUUUUUCUUUCUCAACAUUUCUACAUAUAUUAUUUCUACACACACGAAUUUCUUAAAUAAUCAAUUAAAAUGAGACAACUGAUCGUGGCCUUCUGCUUGGUGCUCCUCGCAAUGAUUUCAGUCUCGGCCCAGAUAACGAACUGCUCUAGUUUCAUUAGGGAAUGCAACGGUACCCUUCCCUGUUGUAAUUCUACAAUACCACCUUUUCAUACUCUGAGAUGCGUAUUUGGUUUUUGCCUGUAUAAAUAAACUAUAAGAAUGGAAGAAACAUUAAAAUAAUCUAGCAGACUUGAGAGAUGAAAGUAGAUCAGAAGAACCUGCCGCAUAAUUUAUAAAUUUUAGCUUGAUUCUUCUAUAGAAAAACUUACACAAUUCAAACUUUGAUAUACAAUAUUAUGUUAUAAAAAGUUUAUUCUUGAUUUAUUUUGCUUUAACAAUCAGAUGAUCUCUUGACACAGAACAACACAGUUUCCAAAAUAUUUAAUAUUAAAGCUUAAUAAUUUUGUGUAUGUACAAAUCUUUAUAUUAGAGAAAAAGUUCCAAUAAUCUUAACCUUGACUCCUCUAUAUUGUCAAGAAUUGUCUUUAGGAACAAUUAAAAGGCCGACGAUUGUCAUUUAAGAAGUUGUUAAUAAAUAAAAUAAGAUAAAAAAAAUA